rnacentral:rRNA from 1 species
AGAGUUUGAUCCUGGCUCAGGACGAACGCUGGCGGCGUGCUUAACACAUGCAAGUCGAACGGAAAGGCCCUUCGGGGUACUCGAGUGGCGAACGGGUGAGUAACACGUGGGUGAUCUGCCCUGCACUUUGGGAUAAGCCUGGGAAACUGGGUCUAAUACCGAAUAUGACCAUGCGCCUCCUGGUGUGUGGUGGAAAGCUUUUGCGGUGUGGGAUGGGCCCGCGGCCUAUCAGCUUGUUGGUGGGGUAAUGGCCUACCAAGGCGACGACGGGUAGCCGGCCUGAGAGGGUGACCGGUCACACUGGGACUGAGAUACGGCCCAGACUCCUACGGGAGGCAGCAGUGGGGAAUAUUGCACAAUGGGCGCAAGCCUGAUGCAGCGACGCCGCGUGAGGGAUGACGGCCUUCGGGUUGUAAACCUCUUUCAGCACAGACGAAGCGCAAGUGACGGUAUGUGCAGAAGAAGGACCGGCCAACUACGUGCCAGCAGCCGCGGUAAUACGUAGGGUCCGAGCGUUGUCCGGAAUUACUGGGCGUAAAGAGCUCGUAGGUGGUUUGUCGCGUUGUUCGUGAAAACUCACAGCUUAACUGUGGGCGUGCGGGCGAUACGGGCAGACUUGAGUACUGCAGGGGAGACUGGAAUUCCUGGUGUAGCGGUGGAAUGCGCAGAUAUCAGGAGGAACACCGGUGGCGAAGGCGGGUCUCUGGGCAGUAACUGACGCUGAGGAGCGAAAGCGUGGGGAGCGAACAGGAUUAGAUACCCUGGUAGUCC